AUCCAAUCCUAAGUACAAGACAAACCCCUACAUGGCUACAUCGACGCAUAUUAUUAUCCUGUUCAUUAGCAUCAUCAGGGACGAUGAGGUGUUCCCUUGCAUAUUAUUAUCGUGUUCAUGCAUCAUCAGGACGACGAGGAGUUCCCGCUGGAUCUUUGCGAGAACAACCCUCCGAAGGGCCACGAGAACCAAUGCCUCCUCCCGCCGCCGCGCGCGUUGCCACUGGACUCAACACCGGCGCCUCUGUCGCUGCCAAUUGCCUCCGCCGGCUCCUCCGUGGGCAGCUGGUGCCUGCACACGGGGCAGGAGCUGUGCAUCUCCAGCCAGGGCAGGAUGCACUGGUCGUGGAACCGGUGCUUGCACGGCAUCUCGCGCGCGUCGCCGCCGCCCGCGACCUCGUCCAGGCACACGGGGCAGGUGAAGUCCUCGCGCACCCGGACCGUCGGCAACGCGGCCACGGCCUCCUUCCUGGCCGGCGGCGUGCCCUGCCGGUUUGGGUCGGUCUCGGCCAGGUACUCCAGCAGCAAGUCCAGCCCCGGGCCGAGGAACAGGUCCCCGAGCGUCAGACCGCCGGGGCCCAGGGCGGCGGCGCCGUCCCCUCGCUCUUGUCCCAUAAGCAUGGCGCGCGCGUCCGCGGGGCUCAUGAGCACGACCCGCUCGCGCCCGGCAUCGGUGUCGCCUUCCUGGAGCGCGUUGAGCAGCUGCAGGAGGGCGAUGUUGCGGUACUGCCUUCGCGCCAAAGCGGCGAGGUCCCCUCCGUGGCCGUCGAGGCCGUGGCGGCCGGACGAGGCGGCGAUGAAGUCCAUGAGCACAGGCGCCCAGAGCGAAACCUCGCGCUCCAGCGCCGCGUCCGAGGCGUUAGAGCUCGCCUCGCCGCCGGGAGGACGGCCUCUGAUGGCUGCGUCGUCGCUGCCUCGCCGGUCGCCCGCCAUCUCCUCCACGAAGCCGGUGUGGCAGUGGGGGCACUUCACCUCCUCGAUGCCCAGUUCGGGCCUUAUGAUCAGCGAGCACAUGUGGCAGUAGUACCUUGAAGCUGCGACGGAUUCCUCUUCCAUGUCUUUCCUUUCCUCCGC
rnacentral:misc_RNA from 1 species